rnacentral:lncRNA from 1 species
CAGAAGCAGGGAGGAACCUUCCUGAAGCAUUGAGUCAGGUACUUUGGCUCUAGCAAACCUGGUGGCAAAAACUGCACACUGAUGGUAAUAUAGGGAUAUCUUUCUGAAUAAAAUGACUGGCUGUGUUUUAAUCAAGCAGAAAUUAAGAGUUCAGAGGAGACAUUUAAGGGCAAAGUCCAUGUGAAAAGCUGAGUGUAACAGACCAGGACACCACUUCAAUG